rnacentral:rRNA from 1 species
UACAGAGGGUGCGAGCGUUGUCCGGAAUCACUGGGCGUAAAGGGCGCGUAGGUGGCGACCCAAGUCGAUGGUGAAAGCUCGCCGCUCAACGGCGAGUCGGCCACCGAUACUGGGUUGCUGGAGCACUGUAGAGGCAGAUGGAAUUCCGGGUGUAGCGGUGAAAUGCGUAGAUAUCGAGAGGAACACCUGCGGCGAAGGCGGGUUGCUGGGCUGACACUGACGCUGAUGCGCGAAAGCCAGGGGAGCGAACGGG